GUGUCCUACGGGGGGCAGCAGUGGGGGAUAUUGCACAAUGGGGGAAACCCUGAUGCAGCGACCCCGCGUGGGUGAAGAAGCGCUUCGGCGUGUAAAGCCCUAUCAGUGGGGAAGAAAAAGGACGGUACCCAAAGAAGAAGCACCGGCUAAAUACGUGCCAGCAGCCGCGGUAAUACGUAUGGUGCAAGCGUUAUCCGGAAUGACUGGGUGUAAAGGGAGCGUAGACGGUUGUACAAGUCUGGUGUGAAAGCCCACGGCACAACUGUGGGAGGGCAUUGGAAACUG
rnacentral:rRNA from 1 species